AGUGAACGCUGGCGGUAGGCCUAACACAUGCAAGUCGAACGGCAGCGCAGUAAGAGCUUGCUCUUACGGGUGGCGAGUGGCGGACGGGUGAGGAAUACAUCGGAAUCUACUUUUUCGUGGGGGAUAACGUAGGGAAGCUUACGCUAAUACCGCAUACGACCUACGGGUGAAAGCAGGGGAUCUUCGGACCUUGCGCGAUUGAAUGAGCCGAUGUCGGAUUAGCUAGUUGGCGGGGUAAAGGCCCACCAAGGCGACGAUCCGUAGCUGGUCUGAGAGGAUGAUCAGCCACACUGGAACUGAGACACGGUCCAGACUCCUACGGGAGGCAGCAGUGGGGAAUAUUGGACAAUGGGCGCAAGCCUGAUCCAGCCAUACCGCGUGGGUGAAGAAGGCCUUCGGGUUGUAAAGCCCUUUUGUUGGGAAAGAAAAGCAGCAGGUUAAUACCCCGCUGUUCUGACGGUACCCAAAGAAUAAGCACCGGCUAACUUCGUG
rnacentral:rRNA from 1 species